CCUUUAUAAUGGUUAUGGCUGUCACUCGCCUGCAGUUUGUUCAAGUAUUUUUCUGAGCCUGGUGUAAUUACAGUGAUAUUCUGUGGCCUGGGGAA
rfam:Pongo abelii chromosome 10.